CCGGGCCAUCCGUCCCCUCCCGCUUUUGGUGCUCAAUUUUCAGUUUUGUGUCUCUCCCCCUCCGAAAUCCCCGCUCCCGCCGAUGUUCUCUGGACCUUAAAGGAUAUUUAACCACCUGUUAUCCACCUACAUGUGAGAGGCCGGGAUUCUGCUGACACUUUCUGGCUGGGAAUUGAAUGCUGCCUGAAUCAUCCAGCCAGGGCCAUUUGUUCAUAAAACUCCCAGACAAAGCAGCUCCUCUGCACCAUGGAUGAUCCCAGGCUGCCUGCACGGCUGAGAGCAGGAGAACCCCAGAAUUCCCGAGGCUGGAAAAGCCCUCCAGGAUCACUGAGCCCAACCUGUGGCUGAUCCCCACCCACACACAGCACUGAGUGCCAAUCCUUGGACACCUCCAUCCCCUCUCCACUCCAUCCCCGGGCAGGAUCCACCUUGGGAAUGUCCCUCGCCGUGGGAGAGAUGCACCGUGGAGGGCAAAGUGUUGGCGGCACUUGUGUCCCUGAGAAAUGCCUCAAGGAAAAUCCCAGGGGCGCCCAAAUCUGGUGCUGAGCCAUCCCUGUGGAGCCUGGGAUCCACCCUGGAUCCUCCUCCCCUCCUUUUAGCCCCUGGAUAAGCUCUGAGCCCUCUCCUCUCUCCACGCCUGCAGCUCUUCUGAGGGAUUUCUCUUCCCCUCCUAAACUCUCCAUUUCCCCUAAAAGGGAAGCCUUUGGGCAAAGGAAUAAUCAUGGAAUCGUGAAGGUUGGGAAGAGACCUCAAAGGGGACCAAGUCCAAGCCUGUGCUUGGUCCGAGCUGCUUGGUGUUGAUCCAGGAGCACGCUGUGGUCAUCCCUGGUGGGUCUCUGGUAACCACCGUGGUGUGACACCCCCAGUGACCAGCAGGGCCAGGUGACCCCAGGCUGGAUCCUGCAAUCCAGGAUCCCUUCCCAGGCUUCCUUUCCCCACCACGACGCCACGAAGACCUCUUGCUAUCGAGCUCAAACACGCAGA